GAUGAACGCUGGCGGCGUGCCUAAUACAUGCAAGUCGAGCGAACGGACGAGAAGCUUGCUUCUCUGAUGUUAGCGGCGGACGGGCGAGUAACACGUGGAUAACCUACCUAUAAGACUGGGAUAACUUCGGGAAACCGGAGCUAAUACCGGAUAAUAUUUUGAACCGCAUGGUUCAAAAGUAAAAGACGGUCUUGCUGUCACUUAUAGAUGGAUCCGCGCUGCAUUAGCUAGUUGGUAAGGUAACGGCUUACCAAGGCAACGAUGCAUAGCCGACCUGAGAGGGUGAUCGGCCACACUGGAACUGGGACACGGUCCAGACUCCUACGGGAGGCAGCAGUAGGGAAUCUUCCGCAAAGGGCGAAAGCCUGACGGAGCAACGCCGCGUGAGUGAUGAAGGUCUUCGGAUCGUAAAACUCUGUUAUUAGGGAAGAACAUAUGUGUAAGUAACUGUGCACAUCUUGACGGUACCUAAUCAGAAAGCCACGGCUAACUACGUG
rnacentral:rRNA from 1 species